UACGAAGGGGCUAGCGUUGCUCGGAAUCACUGGGCGUAAAGCGCACGUAGGCGGAUUGUUAAGUCAGGGGUGAAAUCCCGGAGCUCAACUCCGGAACUGCCUUUGAUACUGGCGAUCUUGAGUCCGGGAGAGGUGAGUGGAACUGCGAGUGUAGAGGUGAAAUUCGUAGAUAUUCGCAAGAACACCAGUGGCGAAGGCGGCUCACUGGCCCGGUACUGACGCUGAGGUGCGAAAGCGUGGGGAGCAAACAGG
rnacentral:rRNA from 1 species